UACGUAGGGUGCGAGCGUUGUCCGGAAUUAUUGGGCGUAAAGGGCUCGUAGGCGGUCUGUUGCGUCGGGAGUGAAAACUCAGGGCUUAACCCUGAGCCUGCUUCCGAUACGGGCAGACUAGAGGUAUGGCAGGGGAGAACGGAAUUCCUGGUGUAGCGGUGGAAUGCGCAGAUAUCAGGAGGAACACCGAUGGCGAAGGCAGAUCUCUGGGCCGUAACUGACGCUGAGGAGCCGAAAGCGUGGGAGCGAACAGG
rnacentral:rRNA from 1 species